CAUUAGAUGACUGAAAAGCAAGUAAUGGUCUCUUAAACCAAAAUAUAGUAAACUAGUGAUUACUUCUAAUGA
rnacentral:tRNA from 1 species